AAGAAAUUGAUAAAGAAGGACAUCUUCGUUAUGGCUGCAGCAGUUCGAAAAUCGUAUGUUUUUAUAAUCUUUCUUUGCAGACCAGUAACGUGUCAAAUUACUGGACCUACCAAGCUUAACUACUUCGUAGGUGAGAACGCACAGUUCAGAUGGAAUACCGCCAGCAAUUCAACACUUCUGUCAGCAACAUGGGGAAUACAAAAAGGCAACAUUGCUGAUCCUCAGUUUAUAAAUGUAGACGUAACGAGCAGUAAGGUGAACCUCAACUCAGGUUUGAAACCAGAUCUCGUUAAACGGCUAAAAUUUGACGGUGACCUCAAGACAGGUCGUGCAUGGUUUACUCUAAUGAACGUCACGGUCGAAGAUACAAACGUCUACCUCGCAAGUAUCAGUGACGAUGUUACCAGAGUCCUGCCUUACACAGCUGCAUUGCACGUAAAUGUAAAAGAACGAGAGCACAGUGACCUAACGGUAAAGGAGGCAGUGUAUUCUAAUGUUCAUAAACCAAGUGUGUCCGUUGCAGUUCUGGUUGAAGAGUUGGUUCUCUUGGCAUUGGCAACUGCUAACUAGCUGACACUGGAAACAUGUUUUGAAAUGAAGCCUUAGUGAAGAGAAGAGGCACGACAUCAAGCAAAACUAAGCUAAUUGUACAAUACUGAUAGGUGUCAAUAUGUAGGUAGUAACGCAAACCCACAGAACACUUGAAUCACGUUAUACAACCUAUAAAGAAUAUAUCCGAUGCCUUGAUUCAGUCUAUGAGCUGAUCCAUAGGUCAGGAAAUGCAAACCUAACUCAUAGAUUAAAUGAAGUUUAACGUGUUUUGUGCAGGUAUAAGAAAAUGGAAGAGGUUAGAGAAACUUUACAACUCAAGGAAGAGAUUUAACAAACUCUACUUAUACAAGAAGCUAGUCUGAUAAUCAAAUCCAAGACCCCAUGCAGAAGUGAGGAAAAGAGUCAGAGAAAACAAGCGACGUCUCUUUUCAGUUACUUGCCUUGGUGCUUAGAGUUUUUGUGUGGUAAAUAAAAUAGACUCUGCCUUUAUCGAUCAUAUCGGCAAUGUCGGCCACAUGGGACACAUGGGCCACGCCAUCGUACACACUAUUGCUUGGAACAAAAGCAUUAAACCGUAGGAGAACGAGAUGCAUCAGCUGUCGACCUUAUAGCUACACGUGGCAAGCUAUAUACAUUAACACACUCAUCUUACGUCUUUAUGAAUUAUAUACUUACAAAGUCUCGAACAAUGCGGACCAUGUGGACCGAAAAGUAAACGGUAAGUGUGGAUCUACGUAAUUCUUACUAAAUGAAUUCUCAAAAAUGACCAAAUGAUUCGACGAUCGAACCGAAAAUAAUAACUUGCAACGAAAAAAUGAAUUAAAAAACGCGAUUGGUCAAUGUGAUUUCGGUACCGAGAAGAUAGGCAAAUUCCAGGAAUCAAGCCUAAGCUCAAGCCCAUUUAGGUUUAGGUUUGGCUUCCGCUUUAAGCAAACAUCUGCCGUUUCGAUCUUCUAGAACGAUGAAUCAAGUGCUGAGUUAUAACAAAUUCCACAAUAACUUUAUAUUUGGAUUCCUAAUAAUCUUAAAUAUACCUAGAGCAGUCAAAGGUAAGAAAAGACCCUUGUACAUCCCUGUAUUUUACUUUAAGAUAUUCGAUCAUGGCCGAUCUUUAAUUUUUACCAUGUUAUAAAGAGUUUUUAGGGCAAAUUAUAUGACGUAGCUGAAGCUAGACACAAAACAAAAUGAAGCCAUGGCCAAAUGCUGAAAGGAAUCGAUGAGUUGCAGUUGCAUAAGUGGACCUAGAAAUGUAGAACUUAKUGAAGGAGRCAGUGCUGAAUUYAUGUGGAACAAUACCUGUGGAAARAGRAUMAUCUCAGCAACGUUUGGUAUCCUCAAAGGAAACAUAGCUGACCCACAACUAAUAAAUGUGGAUAUUAUCAAUCGAAAGAUAUAUUUUAAUAAUGAAAUGGGACCAAAAUACAAAGGAAGAGUUAAUUUUACUGGUAAUUUAGCAUUAGGGCAUGCUUGGUUCAAACUCCAAAACUUGACAAUCGGUGACUGCAAUUGGUACAUCGCAAGUAUCAGUGAUAAGAUCACCAGAGUUCUACCAUAUUCUGUACUUUUAAAAAUAAUACCAAAAGAAAAUGAAAACGCUACAGCUCCGACGACUACGUCGAACGCAAGUAGUUCCACAAGCAACAAGAAUGCUAGUUAUGCCGCUUCUUCAACACCUUCAAUCUACACAGGUGCAAAAAAGUCAACGUCCACAAGAAACAAGAUAUCCAUUGUCCUCCUUAUUUUGAUAAUCACGUUAAUAUGAAUUCAUUAUUGUGCAAGGUUAGAGUGUCUUAA